rnacentral:rRNA from 1 species
GAUGAAUGCUGGCGGCGUGCCUAAUACAUGCAAGUCGAGCGAACAGACGAGGAGCUUGCUCCUCUGACGUUAGCGGCGGACGGGUGAGUAACACGUGGAUAACCUACCUAUAAGACUGGGAUAACUUCGGGAAACCGGAGCUAAUACCGGAUAAUAUAUUGAACCGCAUGGUUCAAUAGUGAAAGACGGUUUUGCUGUCACUUAUAGAUGGAUCCGCGCCGCAUUAGCUAGUUGGUAAGGUAACGGCUUACCAAGGCAACGAUGCGUAGCCGACCUGAGAGGGUGAUCGGCCACACUGGAACUGAGACACGGUCCAGACUCCUACGGGAGGCAGCAGUAGGGAAUCUUCCGCAAUGGGCGAAAGCCCGACGGAGCAACGCCGCGUGAGUGAUGAAGGUCUUCGGAUCGUAAAACUCUGUUAUUAGGGAAGAACAAAUGUGUAAGUAACUAUGCACGUCUUGACGGUACCUAAUCAGAAAGCCACGGCUAACUACGUG